rnacentral:sRNA from 1 species
GUGUCUUCUAUCAUGCUUGGUUCUUUGCCAGCUCUCUCCUAAUUUACAGUGUAAAACAUGUUCUAUGCUGUAGAGUCUACAGAAAGCCCAGGACUCCUGAUUUCCAUGCCUCAUUUUCUACCCGUCACCUGCUUUGUCCUGAGGGUGUCUGCUUGUAUCCUGCUGCUGUCUACUGCACCGUCUGCUCGCUUUGGUUAGGCUACUCACUAAGGACAUCCGGAGUCCUUGUAGGUGGCCCCCGGGUGACGUUCCUUUACUUACUUCCACCUUGGAACCAAGAGAGAUCUGUGCCGUGAGCGCUGUGUGAACCACACAACCAAUCCGCCAUCCCCUCCCAACACUGUAAUUUCUACUUGCAGAGUCGGGCAGGAAAUGUUUGUAGCAUGGAACUCAGGACAGGUUGCCUAGGCUUCUCCAAAUGACAAACGGGAACACUGGAAGAUUAAUUUAUCCAACACUGAACUUGAAUGUCCUCUACUACAGUUUUAAGAGAAAGUAAGCAAGGCCUUUCUUCCUGCCUUUUGCUUUUUCUUGUACACCAAGCAUACCAACCACGAUUUGACAGAGCAAGGAAUUUUGCCAAAGUGAUCACACUUGUUCAAGUCAGUCCCCAGGUCAAGAAAGAGGAUGCCACCUGCACGCAAUCCUUCCAUGCCCCAACCUGGUUACCCCUCCCCAUAUAACAUCUGCUUUUCUGACUCCUAAUGGUUCACUUUUGCCUGGUUUGGAACUUCAUACACAUAAAGUACACCCGCUGUAUUCUUUCUAGUUUAUUACUACAUUUGUAAGAUUCCACCAUGUUGUAAGUCCCCGCCCCUUGUAUAUUUCAUUGUCUGAAUACAUUACUCUUUAUCCUCUCUA